GUGCUGGCUUCAGCAGCACAUGUACUAAAAUUGGAACAGUACAGAGAUUAACAUGGCCCCUGCACAAGGAUGACACACACAUUUGUGAAGUGUUUCAUAUUUUA